CCCUCGACUCGCGACCGAGAAGCAGUCGCUCCGCCCUGCUCGAAGCAGUCGCUUGAGAAGCCCUAAAUCUGCGAACACAAGUCAAGUUCGAUUUUAUUUCCCGAGUUUUUAUGUUCGCAUCUUUGUUUUGGGGAGAAAGCUUGGCCUAAAUCUGCGAUCAGAAGUUCACUGGUUUAUUGCUUCUGAUUCUAAGCGCAGCAACGCGAGAAGUGAAACUGCGACUGUCUCUCUCUCUACCCUUGUCCGGUUUUUCCGUUCUUGGCAAAUUCGAAGAUGAGCCCACUUCUGGAUACAUGAUCUUAGGCCGACCCGUCAAGUCGAAGCCCGACGUAAUCUCGCUGCUUCGCUCCACCGAGCUGUUGAAUCGCUUGUGUCCGGGGGGUUUCAAGAUUUUCCGGGGUGGCAAUCGCCUGUUCCGUCAUUGCAGACUUCCAGGCGAGAAGAAAUGUGCCCACAAUAAUCACCCCAACACCGAACCGCCUCCUUUGUCCUCUCUCGAAAGCAAUCUUUGUUAUGGAUUGAUGAAGGCAUGAGUUGAAGAAAUCCUUGUUGUCCCAACUGCUCAACAGUGCUUCCAUGGAUGGCAAAAGCUCAUCUGAGUUGAGCCUUCCCUGGUUCUGGAUUACUGAGUAUUUGGCAAAAUUCAAGCAAGUUAAGCCAUCCCUCUUGCAUGGUAUCAUUAAAGCGGCUCCAGAGUUACCUGCUCACUUGGGAAAAAUAUGGAGGAAGUUGUUUCUUUGAGAUGCUUGGAGGAGUUAUGUGGCCCUAGAAAUGGAAGCAUGAACAGUACUUGGUCCUCAUUGGGAUCAAAGGCGAAAAUUGAUACAUCAAAGAGCUGCAAAAAUGUCCGACAGUAAAUGUUCCAUAAUCUGAAAGAUACAAUACUUGCAGGUACCCAUCCACAUGCUGAUUUUUAAAAAAAGAGGGUAGAUUGGCAGAUGUUUGUCAUUUGAAUAGGACCGUCAUUCAUAAUGGUGGACAUACUGGACUUACAUGUGCGCCUGAUGUGGGAGACACAUAUGCUCCUAACACAGUUGAUGAACCAAACUUGGUUUCUCGAUCCACCAAUCAUGUGGAGCCCUUGGUAGGAGAUGACGGUAUUAGGAAGUGUCUUCCCACGAAGAGGAACCAUAUUGAUGUUCAUGCUGAAAAUAUUGAAACGAAUUGUAAUGAGGAUCAACAUUAUGAUGCUCAUUCAGAUGCUAAAAGGGCCAAACAGCAAGAUUCUGAUGAAAUAAAGGACAGAGAAAAAUCACCAGUUGUUCUAACUGGAAGAUUAGGUUUCGAGAGAAAUGAUGGAUGUUCUGAUAGAGAGGUGGCUAACCUUGUCAAGGAUCAUAUGGGGGCUGUGGAUGACGACCAGUCGUUAGAGGGAGAUGGGAGGCAUUAUGUUCAGCCAAGGACUUGUGAUGUACUUUCCGAUGGAAUGGAGUGGGGUUUUCCGUUGAUGAUCCCAAACGCGUCCAUGACUCCAUAGAGAAAACAAAGAACAGUGAAUCAGCUCGAGCAUCGGAAUGGGGGCAGACUUUUACCAGUCAUGCAGAAGAUUACGUGGUCCACGAUGUCGGGGAGGAUAUGUCCAGCGAUGGUGAUGAAUAUAGAAAAGAGCAGACAGCAUCCUAUAACAUUAAUGUUUUCAAAAACACAUUAUGGUGAAUUAUAUGAUCCAAUUUACACGAUCCAAUGUCCGGGAUUUGAGGAUUCAUGAUGUUUUCUUUACGAAAAAGCAAUAACUUGUUAGUACUGUCUCGUCAAUAAUCAUUCAUGUUGUCUCGUCAAUAACUUUUUAUACAUUAGUUGCUGAAUAAUUUUGAUGUUCACUUUCUUGCCUAAAUUCUUCUCCAAUUU